rnacentral:lncRNA from 1 species
CCGGCUUCAACUGAAGGGAAUUUGAGGAUUUGAAUAUUGAUAUCGAAACCCAAAUCUUUUGUUCGUUGGAUUGUUUUGGAGAUGAGAGGUUCAUUUGCAGGAGUAGUGAUUAUUGUUGUUUUAUGGCCUCGAAAAGCAAAUAGCUUUGCCAUGUCUACUGUUGGUAUCACGUGGCCAUGAGCCAUGAAGGGGAAGAAAGAAAUGUGCAGUUGUUGAUGACCCAAAUUACCCAUAUGGAUUAUUGAAAAGAACAGAGGAUUUGGAGCUUUAGAACCAAAAGAAAGAAAAGAAUGAUGAAACUAAAGAAAAAUGCUUUGUUUUCCAAUGCAUAUAUGUGAUAUUUUUUGCGUGUGGAAUAUUUGAUUGUACCUUCUUGAUUGAAUAGAAUAUUCCAGCCUGGAGUCUUCAAUACCUACACGUACGUGUUUGCAUUCGUCAUUCUUGAUAUAUACGGUAAUGGAAAGAAGUUUCAAGAGGGUUUUAAGCCAUGAAACUUAUCCUAAUCUAAAUCUACUACUUCUGUAGUUUGGUAACAUGAAAAUUUCUGGAACAGUAAUAUUUUAUUUGGAAAACUGAUUUCUUGUUGUUUUCUCGUUUGGGUGUUACAGUUUUACAGAUCUGUAGAUUUUGGCAGAACCAAAAAAUGCUGAAUGGAGAAAUUCUUGGACCAAUCACUUUCAGGGCAAGGAAAGGUUCUCCUCAAAAGUAAAUCUAAUUUAGGGGAAUUGAACCCAGCUGGAGUAACUAGGAUGAACCACUCAGGCGAGCUUAUCAGUACAGCAACGGUAUGUCUAAAAAUUCGGUUAAUAUACCCGAUCCUUAGUAAAUAUUUAAUAAUUUGUUGAACAAAAAUUAAUUCAAUUGAAAUGGGCAAACCUCAUCCUUAGUAAAUAUUUAAGAAUUUAUUCAAAAAAAGUUAAUUCAAUUAAAAUGGGCAAAGGUUUUUUUUUUUGGGUACGACAAGGAGAUUUAAUUUUUUCGCAUCUUAGAAAGUAAAGAUUUUUUACUUUUUCAGCAAAGUGCGCUUUCCGAAGAUUGAACUUGUGUCCUUACCCUUAUAGACAUUGAAGUCGUUAACCACUUCAACGAUCCCUAACCAACACUAUGUUGGUAAUGGACAAAGACAUUUUACAUUAGAAAAUUAAAGUUGAAUCAUUUUUAAGUUAUAAAUAAAAAAUUAAGACACCAUAAUAUGCAAUAUGUGUUAAGUUUAGGGACUAUAUAUGAAAUUAACUCUAUUGUAGGAUGAUAAAACGAUUUGGGGAAGGGCAUUUACAUUUGAUGAAACUAUGGAAAUUAGUUAUACCAGGAUGUAUUCAUAUGUUGUUGAGAUAUUAGUGGGUUAGAAUCGCUGAUUUAAAAUUCUUUCAUCCUUAAUUCAAUUACAAAUUUUCUUUUAUUUAUCGACAAAUUUAACUUUCUUUCCUAUUCCACCAUAAACCUUAACUCAAUCCUAUCUAAAUUUCAAGACUGAAAAUUAAUGAAAUUAGAGGCAUGAACCCAAUUAUUUUCUCCAUUAUUUACACUAAGGUCCUAAUCAUGUGUUGAAAAUAGUUAAACUUCGAAGAGUUUAUAGACUUAGCAUUACAACAGAAAAUUUAGCUGAGCAAAUCAAGACCGUUCGACGAUGUCAAGAAAAGUUUAGAAAAGGCUAACACAAAGUACAAAGCAGCAGUUGAUCGAUAUAGAUAGAAGAUUCAAGUUUUUGAGGUUAGACAUGAGGUUAUGGUGUUUCUUAGCAAGCAAGAAUUUCUUAAUUUUGAUUUUGUGGAAGCUGAUUAUGGGGCAUCCAAUCUAUUUAGUUUUCUUGUCUUCCAAGUGCUUUUAAGGUGUAAGUUCUUAUCGAGUAUUUUUCUAUCCAAGUGUUUACCUAUUAGUUAGAAUUUUUUAUUUUACAUAUUUUGCUAUUUAGCUAGUUUUUCUUAAUUUUAGUCUUCUUCCUUAUUUAACAUAUUUUCCUUAAUUUUAGUAUUAUUGUUAUAUUCCCUAUAAAUUAACAUGUAAUGCUGUUGAUCUUUAUGCAUGCAUUCAAGGAUAAUAUAAUUUUCUCCUCAAAUUUACCUAAGUUCUUGUGUUUGAAACUUAUUGUUUUAAUUGGUGUAUCGACGCUACUCAUUUCUAAACAAGUUAUGAUUAGGACAUGUUAUAAUUGUCUCAGAAGAUAAUGCUUAUUUGGGAGGGAAGGGGAAGCAGCAGAGCAACAGGUAAUUUUUUACUGUAAAAAGUAAAAUUAUUAGGGUUGGUUUAUUUAUAAAUAUCAAUAAAAUCAAGGGAAAAGAGAAGCUGAAUUUUAGAGAUGUUUGUUUUUUCUUUUAUCAUCACUAAUUAUUUCCUUUUUUGGACAAUAUUAAACGUCCCUAAAGUGGGAAUGAAGGUAUUAGAGUAAAUAUGGCUUCUUAGUCAACCGCCUUGAGUUUGAAGAAGGGUAUUGGAGUAAAUUAGAAUUAGGCCAAAUACCUAAAUACAUCUCUUAACUUUAAAAUUUUAAUCUUGUGGUACUUUGAACUUUGUAAAUGACCUAUCAUGCACUUUAAACUUGCAAAUUUUGAUAACAUUACACAUAUUUUCAUACUAAUAGCAAUAGUUUUUAGGUUUUUGAUUUUUAUAUGCAAAAUAUUAAUUUAAAGUGUAGUUAGCAUAGUUUCUGAAACAAUAAUUUUUACAUUUUUCAACUAUAUACUAAGUGUUUAAUUGCUCUAAUUUUAUAAGCUGAAGUGUUUAAUAUAUGUAAUUUUAUAAGUCAAAAUAUUUAAUAGGCCAAAGUAAAAAUUAAAAGCGCUACAAAAUUAAAAUAAUAAAAUUCGAAAGUAAAAUUUAUGUAUUCAGCCAUUAAUAUUAGCCUAUGUAAAUCUGGUAGGUUUUCUAAUAUAACCUUUUUGUGGUAAGUCAACAUAUAAUAAUCCCACUUCAGUAAGCAGUAAGAAUUAACUUUGUUGUAUUAUCUAUAUAAAUAGACUCACUUCUACAAUUUUUUUUUUUAAAUUUUUAGAACUAUGAGCUAUAAUCCCUUUUCGACCAUAGAGCGUAAGGAUUUUUUGAUUUCUAAUAAGUUUGCUUCGUGAUGAUUGAACUUUUGUUCAUCUUUAUGAGUUAAGAUCGCUUACUACCACAACAAACAUCUUGUUGAUACUCUCUUUUAUAUUUUAAACAUAUUUAAAUAUACAUUUUUUUUUCAUUCCAACUAGUCGGAAAUUUAAACAUUCUGUUAAUUUACUAAAUUCCUUUGUUCUACAUUAAAAAAAAAGCCAAUAAUUUAUGAAAUGUAAAUAAUUUAUGAAAUUGAUACAUUUGAUUAUUGCAUUUAGAGUAAGCAUGGCCACGGUUCCGGAACCGGCGGUUCCGGUUCCCGAAAAGCUGGAAUCGGAACCGAACAGAAAUGGUCCGGUUCCAGUUCCGGUUUGGAACCGUCCGACUCCGGUUCCAGUUCCGGUUCUGAUCCGAUUACAAAACCGACGGUUCCGAUUGGUUUUCCGGCGAAUCGCAUAAUUUUAAAUUUUAAAUUUUAAAUACCGGUUUAAAAAAAAAAUUAUGUGAACAUAAAAAAUUAAAAAAUACACCUAAAAAAUUUUAAAUUUUGAAGACCGGUUUAAAAAAAAAUUAUUUGAACAUAAAAAAUUAAAAAAUACACCUAAAAAAUUAAAAAAUACUUCAAUUAAAUUUAUUUUUUUAAAGACUUGAAUUGUUGAGUGUUAAACAUAAUGAUUUUUUAAAAAAAAAAUUUUUUUUUUAAGUUUGAACAUAAAUAAAAAAAAAAAAUGCGCUUGAACUUAAUUUUUUUUUUUGUUUUAAAAAAAAAUUAAGUUGUUUACUUAUCCUCUUGGGGUUUAGAGGAAUCAAAGCCCACGUAGUUCUUACUUACCUUAUAUCAAUUNNNNNNNNNNNNNNNNNNNNNNNNNNNNNNNNNNNNNNNNNNNNNNNNNNNNNNNNNNNNNNNNNNNNNNNNNNNNNNNNNNNNNNNNNNNNNNNNNNNNNNNNNNNNNNNNNNNNNNNNNNNNNNNNNNNNNNNNNNNNNUGAAUCGGGUGUCAUACGAGAUCGUGUUUCAUCAAGAAUGUUACCUCCUUGACUAAAAGCUUGUUCAACCGCAACAGUGGAGACCGGAGCUGCUAAAACUUAUUUUGCAAUUAAAGAAAGAAUUCGAAAAGUAUUUGCGUGACGACUCCACCAAUCUAAAAUUGGAAAAUCUGCAUCUGCAUAAUCAUCACCAAACUCAAAAGAAGUUGUUAGAUAAUUAUCAAAUUCAGAAAUAGAAUUGGAUUCCCUUGUUCUUUUUUGUCUUUGCAAUAAAACUUAUUGAGCAACACCAACACUAACACCACUUACCCUUUGUGUUGAAAAUUGUGGAAUAUUAGAUUGAGAAGAAGUAGAAAUAGAAGUAGAUGAACUAGAAACUUGAACAAAUUCAUUAUAUAAUUGCAUAAUAUUUUGUUUAACUUCAUGCAUUACUACAUUUAUAUUAACAUUAUCUUCUACAUCAAGAUUUAAUACUUCAUAAUAAAUAGUCAAAUAAUCACAUAAAACAUCAAUUUUACAUCUAGGAUCAAAUACAAUAGCAACAAGAUAAAGAGGUGGUAUAUUUUUAAAAUAAGAUAACCAUUUUUUUUUCAUUGAAAAAAUACAAUCUUUUAAUAAAUCAUCAUUUUGANNNNNNNNNNNNNNNNNNNNNNNNNNNNNNNNNNNNNNNNNNNNNNNNNNNNNNNNNNNNNNNNNNNNNNNNNNNNNNNNNNNNNNNNNNNNNNNNNNNNNNNNNNNNNNNNNNNNNNNNNNNNNNNNNNNNNNNNNNNNNNNNNNNNNNNNNNNNNNNNNNNNNNNNNNNNNNNNNNNNNNNNNNNNNNNNNNNNNNNNNNNNNNNNNNNNNNNNNNNNNNNNNNNNNNNNNNNNNNNNNNNNNNNNNNNNNNNNNNNNNNNNNNNNNNNNNNNNNNNNNNNNNNNNNNNNNNNNNNNNNNNNNNNNNNNNNNNNNNNNNNNNNNNNNNNNNNNNNNNNNNNNNNNNNNNNNNNNNNNNNNNNNNNNNNNNNNNNNNNNNNNNNNNNNNNNNNNNNNNNNNNNNNNNNNNNNNNNNNNNNNNNNNNNNNNNNNNNNNNNNNNNNNNNNNNNNNNNNNNNNNNNNNNNNNNNNNNNNNNNNNNNNNNNNNNNNNNNNNNNNNNNNNNNNNNNNNNNNNNNNNNNNNNNNNNNNNNNNNNNNNNNNNNNNNNNNNNNNNNNNNNNNNNNNNNNNNNNNNNNNNNNNNNNNNNNNNNNNNNNNNNNNNNNNNNNNNNNNNNNNNNNNNNNNNNNNNNNNNNNNNNNNNNNNNNNNNNNNNNNNNNNNNNNNNNNNNNNNNNNNNNNNNNNNNNNNNNNNNNNNNNNNNNNNNNNNNNNNNNNNNNNNNNNNNNNNNNNNNNNNNNNNNNNNNNNNNNNNNNNNNNNNNNNNNNNNNNNNNNNNNNNNNNNNNNNNNNNNNNNNNNNNNNNNNNNNNNNNNNNNNNNNNNNNNNNNNNNNNNNNNNNNNNNNNNNNNNNNNNNNNNNNNNNNNNNNNNNNNNNNNNNNNNNNNNNNNNNNNNNNNNNNNNNNNNNNNNNNNNNNNNNNNNNNNNNNNNNNNNNNNNNNNNNNNNNNNNNNNNNNNNNNNNNNNNNNNNNNNNNNNNNNNNNNNNNNNNNNNNNNNNNNNNNNNNNNNNNNNNNNNNNNNNNNNNNNNNNNNNNNNNNNNNNNNNNNNNNNNNNNNNNNNNNNNNNNNNNNNNNNNNNNNNNNNNNNNNNNNNNNNNNNNNNNNNNNNNNNNNNNNNNNNNNNNNNNNNNNNNNNNNNNNNNNNNNNNNNNNNNNNNNNNNNNNNNNNNNNNNNNNNNNNNNNNNNNNNNNNNNNNNNNNNNNNNNNNNNNNNNNNNNNNNNNNNNNNNNNNNNNNNNNNNNNNNNNNNNNNNNNNNNNNNNNNNNNNNNNNNNNNNNNNNNNNNNNNNNNNNNNNNNNNNNNNNNNNNNNNNNNNNNNNNNNNNNNNNNNNNNNNNNNNNNNNNNNNNNNNNNNNNNNNNNNNNNNNNNNNNNNNNNNNNAUUGUAGAGUAGAGAAGAAUAAAUGAAUAAUAUAGAGUAGAGUGUAGUAUAUUGUAGAGAGAGUAAGUAGAGAGUGUAGUAUAUUGUAGACAGAGUAAGUAGAGAGAGUUGAGAUUUUUUUGUAAUGAAUUUGUAAAUAAAAUGAGGUAUUUAUAAUAAAUCCAAAAAUUCAUUUUUCCAAAAAUACCCUUAAAAUUAGUCGUUAUGUAACCGUUUAUGGCUGUUGGGAGGGGUAAUUAAGACAUUUCACAACAAAUUAAAAAAAAACUGCAAAAAUCUAACAGUUACAACGGCUAGAACCGUCGGUUUGAACCGGUUUGAACCGGCGGUUCUAACCGGACGGAGAACCGGCGGUUCCAGUCCGGUUCCGACCGGUUCUCUGGAACCGCCGGUUUCGGUUCCUUAUUUGCUGGAACCGGAACCGAACCGGAUUUUUCCGGUUUCGGUUCCGGUUCAUCCCGGUUCCGGUUCUCACUGGUUCCGGUUACAGUUUCGGGCAGGUUCGAACCGAUGGUUCCGGUUCCCGGAACCGUAAUAUGGCCAAGUCUAAUUUAGAGUGCGUUCAGCAACAACGUUUAGAGUAGCUUUUAAUGUUUUGAACUACUACUUCUGUUCCAUAAUACUUGUCACAUUUGAAAUUUCACGUCUCUUAAGAAAAUCAUUAAAUUUGUUUAAAUUACAAUAAAUUAUUGACUAAAUUGAUUAUAUUGCCCUUAAUUUAAUACUAAUUCUAUAAGAAAUCCAUUAAAUUAAAGUAAUAAUUAUUGGUAUGUAUAAAGGGAAACAUGGAAAAAAUAUUUAUUAUUUAUUGAAAUCACAAAUGUGAUAAGUAUUUUUGAACAAACUAUUUUCUCAAAUGUAACAAGUAUUACAGAGCGGAGGUAGUAGUCAAAAUACUAUUUCUCUAUAUUAUUGUGUUUGGCAACCUGAUAAAUAACGUAACUUUUAGGGAUGAAGGAGGGUUUUCUAAAAUGUUAUCCCACCUAACAAUUAGUGUUUUACUCCUAUUUACUAAAAUUUUUUUAUAGCCCUAUCCUUAAUUAAUUAAAAUCUUUCAGGUAUCACACUAGGUCUUUUUAUUAUGUUUUAUACUUGGCUUGUUUAUAAUUAAUAGUAAAAGAAAAAAAAAAUUUAUAUAUUUGCAUUUGAACUCAAGUAAAUAUCAAAAAUUAAAAUAUUGAUCCCUAAAUUAUUAAAAAAUUUUCAAUUUUAUUUAUAAAAUACUGAACUUUUUAAUUUUACUCCCUUAAAUUUUGAAAAUUUAGGUUUAGUGAAAUCAUUUUUAAUUCUAUGGCUAUAAGUAAAAAUUCUAAGUGAAAAUUCUAAUAUCUUUUUUGUCUGUUGGCUCAAGGUUUACACCCUUCUAUUUUGAUGAGUAACGAAAUAAUAAAUUGAAUUUAUUAUCAUGUGUAUGUGUACUAAGUCUAUAUGUAGGAAUUUUAAUUAAAAUAAAUUUGUUCAUUGAAGACUCAAAUUAAUCAUAUAUUGAAGAUUGAAGAUGAAGACUUUUGAAGAUUGAAGACAUAUUGGUUAGUGUCUUAGUUAUUUUUAGGAUUAAUUAUUCAAUGUUAAAAUAGAAAGAAAGAAUAUACCUAAUUAAGCUUAUAUUUAAUUUAUCUUUCUUUUAUUUUUUCAAAAAUGGUAUUUAAAAGAUUUGCUUUAAUUAAAAUGUUGUUUGAAAAAGGAAAAAUAUUUCACAAACUCUUCUUUUCAAAAUUUAAAUAUUUGUGUUUGUGAUCUAAAAAUAUUUUAGUGGGAAAUAAAAAUUUCAAAUCUUGCAUUGAGCCUCUCAAAGACUAGACCCAUUGCCUAUUUAAGUUAAUCCCACACCCAUCUUCCCUCUUUUCUAAAUCUGCCACCAAACAACCCUUAUUCUUUCUCUCUUCUUCGUAACGUUAACUUGCUUUCAUCUCCAACGGGAAGAAAAAUGCAAUUUGAGUAUAAAACAUGAUUUGGUAGAAAUCUUCAAGGUAUGAGAGUUAAAAUUUGUUCUUAAUUUUUAUUAUUUAAAUCCUCUCAUCUCUCUUCCUCUUGCUUUCAUGAUUGUUUGCUAAAGAAAAGAGAAAAUUGAUUUUUAUGAGAGAAAUUAUUUGCUCUUAAUUUUCAAAAUACAAAUUCUCUCAUCUCUGUUCUUUAUCUUGCUUCAUUGCAUUAUAUCUAAGAGAAGAUAAUAGAACCAAUUCUAUGGAGGGAGAUUUUCUAAACAAAACUGAUUUCAUAUUUAAAAAUCUUUCUCCUAAGCCGAACUUAGCAUAUCCCUCUAUCUAUUGUAGUUUUUGUAAUCUAGAAUGGAUAUAAGUUUUUUAAUCUCAAAAUCUGUGAAUGACAACUUUAUGUAAAGCUUGUUUGUAAGGGUUUUCAAGCAUCCAUCUUGUAUUAGAAUAAGUCUUACAAAUUUGCUAGUUCUUUGAAAAAACUAGUUAAGUUUUCUAGUUCUUUAGAAAAACUAGAGUUUAAGUUUUCUAGUUUUUUACUAAAACUAGACGUUAAGUUUACUUGUUCUUUGCAAAAAUAAGUUAAGUUUCCUAAUUCUUUAUAAAAACUAGUAGGGUUAAGUUUACAAGUUCUUUGCAAAAACUUGUGGCUUAUGGUUAGCUCUAAGUGAUAAGAUUAUUUCCGUUGUAAUAGGCUUUACUUUUGCCAUUGAAAAGAGUAGGUUAGUGGAGAAUCUCAAGAUGGAUUCUUGAGUAAUGAAUGUAGGUGAGUUGAGUGCCAAACCACUAUAAAUUUUUUGUAUUAGAUUUCUCCUCUUUUCUUUCUCUUUGUGGCUUUGCUUGAAAUUACUUACUCACACAAAUAUAUUAUGAUGAUAUCCUUGAAUAUUGGUUGAUCAAUUGCUCUAUGUGCUAAAUUGUGUAUACUUUGUGAUUGAAAUCUACUUUGUACCAAAACUGAAUUUGAGUUGCAGAAAUGCUUUAUUUUCGAUGAGCUAGAAUCAGAAAAAUUUCCAGAUUUGAUAUUUUAAUGAACAUGUUAAAUUGUUUACAUAUUUAAGUAAUUUAUAUACUCUUAUAAUGUGGAUAUUCAUUGAAUAUGUUAAAUUGUUUACAUAUUUACGUAAUUUAUAUGCUCUUAUAAUGUGGCUAUUUAUUGGACAUUCAUUUGAAAAAGGUCUUUAAAAGCCUAAAUUUUUAAAAAUCAUAAUUCGCCGCCUCUUGUCUAUAGCUUAUCGGGACUUAUAUUGUCAUUUUAAAUUUAAAUGCCAAUAAAAAUACUAUUUUUACUCAACAUAAACAUUUGAUAGCUUAAUAACCAAUAACUAUUAAAUCAGCUAAUAGCUAUUAUAACAGACCCUUAAAUCCAUAAAUUUUGUUUUUCAAUAAAAAAAAUAAUUUUUAAUUUCUAAAAACAAGAAAAAUUUUAAAUUCCAUAGCUUUUGUAAUAUCCAUUGGUUUUUCAUUUCAUCAAUCCCAACAACCACAAACUGAAAUUGAAAUAAGAAAAAUCGAAAAAGAAAAUAUGCUUUAUGAUUUUAUUAGCAUAUUAUUCUAAAUGUGUUCUCUUCUUUUCUCUAAUUUCUUCACUCACGAUAACAGCUCAGCUCUUGAACUAAAGCAUUGAAAUCAGAGUAAGAAGAUCCACCUUCUUCAAUAGCUUGUCUUGCCAUCUCUCCGCACUGUCUUGCUCUGCUCCUCAUUUCCUCAGCUUCUUCGCCUGCCAUAACUCUAUUAAUUGCCUUCUCUAUAGCUUCUCUUUUAAUAUAAUCCCCACGCAAUCUAACAAUUUCCUUAGCACCGACACCAAUCCCAAUUUUCAGAACCUCAGUCACUAACUUCUCAUUAAAGAAUUGCUCAGCAAAUACAGGCCAUGUGACCAUUGGUUUCCCUGAAGUUACACCUUCAAGUGUAGAAUUCCAUCCACAAUGAGUCACAAAUGCUCCUAUUGCUUCAUGUUCAAGAAUCAACACUUGUGGCGCCCACCCUCUUAUGAUAAGUCCUUUCCCUUCCAUUUUCUUCUCAAAUCCUUCAGCCAGCCAUUCUUCUUCAUUUCCUUCACUAUUCUUGUUUCUUGUCACUACCCAAAUGAAUUUUUGUCCAGCAGCUUCUAGAGCUAUUGCGAUUUCCUUAAGUUGAGAGUCACUGAAAUUAGAUGAACUUCCAAAACAUAUAUAAAUAACUGAAUUCGGUUUCUUGGAGUUUAGCCAUUUCAAACACUCAUGUUCAUCAAUGGAAGCUUCUUUUCCUCUUUGUGCUUUAUCUUCCAUUCCUCUAUUGCUUAUCGAGACUGGGCCUAUAUGCCGUGCCGUUCUGCCCAAAACAUUCCUGUAAUGAUCAGCGUAAGCUUGCUCGAGCUCGUAGAAACUGUUUACAACCACUCCAAAGCUCUUUAACUCUGACUCCAUCGAUUCUUUAAUCAUCUUAGUAAAAGCAUUUUCAACUUCUUCUCUAAAAGAACUGGGGAGUUGUUUUCUUGUUAUCUUUAUUUCUCCUGGAAGACUUGGAAUGACAAAGGGCUCUGAAUCUGAUAAAAAUUUUCUGUGUGGCUGAUACAGCCUAAUAGAUUCUCCGGCGCACAAAGAAAAGAAACUAGUGCCAUGAAACACUAAUCUUGGAAUUGCAAAUUUGGAAGCAGCAUCAGUAGCCCAAGGAAAGAACAUAUCAGCAACAAGACAAUUAGGGCGGCAUUCUUGAAGGAGCUUUUCAAGAGGUUCUUGAAGCUUAGCUGUAGCUAACAAAAAUUUGUCCAUCAUAUUAUCAUUGUCAUAUGAAUUAAUAGAAUCCAUGUUUUCACAACCUUCUGGUAGUCCGGCUUCAACUGAAGGGAAUUCGAGGAUUCGAAUAUUGGUAUCAAAACCCAAAUCUUUUGUUCGUUGGAUUGUUUUGGAGAUGAGAGGUGCAUUUGAAGGAGUAGUGACAACUGUUGUUUUAUGGCCUCGAAAAGCAAAUAGCUUUGCCAUAUCUACUGCUGGUAUCAUGUGGCCAUGAGACAUGAAGGGGAAGAAAAAAAAGUGCAGUUGUUGAUGACCCAAACUACUCAUAUGGAUUAUUGAAAAGAACAGAAGAUUUGGAGCUUUAGGGGGGAAGAAAAUAAAAAGAAGAAGAAUGAUGAAGUAAAGAACUACUUUGUUUUUUCAAUGCUUGUACGACCAAAUGUUUGUGCUAUUUGUAUGUGAGAUUUUAGAUUUAUUACCGUUGUUGCAGAAGAAAACUUCAGUCGUAUCUUCUUGGCUCUAAAUGGAAUGGAAUCUUCCUGUCUGGAUUAAUACUUAGACGUCAUUGCAUUUGCUCAUUAAUACCAUGAAUCUAAUCCUAACAAACUACCUAUUUAAUUUGUUAGUGUGACAGUUUCAGGUUAAUUGGAAAGAGACGAUAUUUAUUUGGAAACCAAAAUCUGAAAUUGAAAUAUUUUUGUACAGACACAGUAUCUGCAAAUUUUGGAAGAAGUACAUGAACCCAGAAGUACAUUUUUGAAAAAAUGAAUGUGGUUGGAUAUUUAAUAUAAGACAUGAUAUUUUCUUUUAAAAGAAAAGCAGUGUGAAUUUUUUUUUUUUAAUAAAUACAUAUGAUAAUGAGAUAUUUGAAAAUUUUAUAUUUUAUUUUUUAAUUUAUUUUUUCAAUAUUUGAUUCUAUUUUUAUUAUAAUUUAAAAUAUUUUAUUUGGGGGAGAAAUAAAAAAAGAAAAAAAAAUAUAUUUUUAUAACAAAAUUUCAAAUAGAAUAUACAUAAUUAAAUCUUUUAAAAUUUUUACUUUUAAAAUUUAUUUUUAAAUAAAAUGAACAUAUAUAUGUAGGAUGACAAAUAAUUAAAAUAUUUAAUUUUAAAAAUAUAUGUAAUAUUUUAUUCUUAUAUAUAUUGAAAUAUAAUUAUUAGGUGAUAUUGUAAUUAUAAUGAAUUUUAGAUAAAUAAUAAUAUAAAUUAAGUUGAAAUGUGUGUGUAUAUACACACUGCUUUUAUAUUAAUUAAUCGUUAUAUUCAUAUUAAUCUUAUAUGAAAUUUUAUUUUAACAUGAUAAAAAUUUAAAUAAUAUGACAUAAAAAUUAUAAUCAAUAUUUAAUAUUAAAAAAUAAAAACGAGUAAAACUGACAUAAAAAAUUGAACAAGUAUGAAUAACGAGUAUGGUCAACAUGCAUCGCACGUUAUAAAAAGAUUAAUAUAUAUAAAAGUACGAAUGGUGAACAUUCGGUUCCCAAAACGCCCUUACAGACUUUUAAUUUUAUUGGUUGAUUGAAAGACAAUUUAGUCUUAUUUAUUACAUUAAUAUUAUAAAUUUAAUCCCAUUUUAAUUAGAAAUUUGACUUUAAUCGUAUUCUAAUGUGAUAUCAAUUUAUUAUUUUAUUAUAUUAAUAUUAUAAAUUUAAUCUUAUUCUAAUUAGAAAUUUAUCCUAUCAUACCUAGGGGUGUCAAAAUGGGUUUAACACACAACACGAUUCGCCUAAUACAUGAAAUAAACAACUUAGGGUGAUUUUAAAUGGUUCGUGUCAUAAAUAUGUCAUCUAUUUAUGACACAAAUAUAAACGUGUCAUGUCACGGGUUAGGCGAGUGGCCCAUUUAUUUAAGAGUAAAAAUGUAAUUUUUAGUGUCAAAUAUAAAUACUCCAACUAAAACCUAUUUAAAAUUUAUUGUUGCAUUAAUUUUUUUAUUUUAGUCGUGAAUGAAGAAUCUAUGCAUUUUAUGUAUGAAAAUUAUUUUUAAAUAUGAGUUGAGUUAAACAUGUUAAAAUUUAAAAUAUUAUAAGUGGAUUAAGUGAGUCAUAUACAGGUCAACACGACCCACUUAACAUGUUUAUGAUAUUAGGCAGGUUACACGGGUUGUACAUGGUCAACACAACUCAUUUAAUCUGUUUAUAAUAUUAAGCGGGUUACAUGUGUCGUGUUCGUGUCACCUGUUCAAUCUUUGCAUCGUGUUCGUGUCGACAAAUUUGAUACGAUAAUUAAAUGGCUCACGUUUGUAUUCAUGUCGGUGUUAGGCAAAUUUGUGUCGAACUCGAUAUGACAAUUCAUUUUGACAGCCUAUAAAACUAUAUAUAUGUUAGGAUUUAAUUGCUUUUCAAUAUCAAAAAUUUAUUGCCUUUAUUUUUUGCUUUUGACUAUUAAAAAUUAUUACAUUAAGCUUUUGCUAAUUUGAAGUUAUUGAGUUUGCAAUCAUGUCUUCUUCUUGUGGUAAGUAUAAUAUUAACUUUUUCCAUUUACAAAAUUAAUAGAAUAGUUUUUAUUAUUUAUAUUUAUAAAUAUAUAUAAUUGUAAAUUUCAAUAAUAUAUAUAAUGAUGUGAAUAUGAAUAUGAGUAGGAAAAUUUUUCAAUCAUGUAGCAUUGUGAUUAUAUCCUUAGAUUUUCAUUAAUAUAUAAAAAAUAAAUAUAAAAUAACAUUAUAUUAAUAAUAAUAGGAAUAUAUAUAUAUAUAUAUAUAUAUAUAUAUAUAUUAAAUAUUAUAAAGUAUAUAUUGGAUCAUCAUCAUAUUAUUCCUAUUUAGAAAUAUUCAAUUUAAAAUUUUAAUUUUAAUAUAUAUUUAUUUUUAUAUAUUGAAUUCAUAGUAUAAUUUUUAUUUAGUAAUUUCCAUUGUAUUAGAAAUUUGUGGAUCCCGUUUAUGUAUGGCACAACCCAAAAGGGGGUGAAUUGAGUUUUCUAAAAAAUUAAACUUUUGAAAACAAAAAUCAGAAUUCUGUUACAGCGGAAAUAGAAAGCGUUUGUAAGAGUUAGCUAUCAAAAUUAGAACUUUCUCACAAAACUUAAUGCAAGAUUAGAAAUACUCUGUGAAAGACAAUUAUUGAAUUUAGAACUGCUCCACAAAACUUUAAGCAAUAUUAGAAAACUGAUUAAAAUUCAAGUUGUGAUUUACAUUAAAUAUAGAAGAAUAGAUUAGAACUUGUUAUAAUCACAAUGCAGAAAUCUAGAGUUUUAAAGUUCAAUAAAGAUAAAGCUUAUCCGAGUUUAGAACCAUAAAAUUAUGAACAACUUUGCAUUUCUAAAAAACUAACAGAAGUGUAAGUAAAAUGGAAUCAAGCUAAACUUCAAAAAAUAGAAAAGAUAAACACAACGAUUUAUAGUGAUUCGGCACUAACUCGCUACAUCCACUCUCCAAGACUCAUCUUGAGAUCCUCCACUAUGUUAUCUCUUUUCAAUACCUAGAUCUAGCCUUUGUCCCACUAGAUUUUCCAAAGGUUCUAAUCAACCUCAACCCUUUCUGUUUUUGCAAAGAACAGAAACUUAAAUCAAGAUAUUAGAUUCUCACUCAAGGAGAAGGUCGCUUGAUAACCUAUUUCACAAUAACUUUUCACCUAAACUAUUACAUACAAGUUUUUCAAAUAAAAACCUGUCUACAACAGAUUACAGAAUCUAUAUAGACAGAGAGAAAUGCAAAUAUAGGCACAGGAAAAAUAGAAAUCAAGAUUAGAAAAUUGAUUUAAAGAAUAUAACUAUUUUUCAAAAGAUAUUGUUAUAAAAUUUUUCUUUUUUCUUAAAAAUAUUUGGUUAAGCAAAGAGAUGAAAAGAAAUAAGGGGGUUGUUAUAGGUUCUUCAGCCUUUUAAGAUAACAAGUUGAUUAGACUAAAAUAGUUACUUCAUCUCGAAGUAAUUAAUAGGUCCUUUGUGUGUUGCAUUUAUCCUUAAUUACUGUAAUUAGCUUUCUUAAUCCCCAUCUCUCUCUUUAGCAAGUUGUAUGUUGUGGAUGUAUUACACGUGUCUUUUUGCACAGGGUUAUUUUGAUUUCUCAAUUAGAGGAUCCAACGGUUCAUUUUAUAGUGGGCACUAGUUUCAAUUUGCUUGUCCUAUCACAAUGUGUUUUCUCUUUUCAAUACAUUGGUCUCCUCAUUAACCAUUUGUUGAGCUUAGGUUCAAAGAUCAUCCCACGGACAGGAUCCUCUAGGUAGGAUGAUUAAAUGAAUAGAGGCACAGUGAGUCUGUGACUUCUUGUUGUGGGUAUCAGACAUAUCUAUGCAAAUUUUUGCCUUCAGUCUGACUCUGAUUUUAUGGUAUAUGACUGCUUUGCAGCUUUCUUUUAUACACAGAAGAGUCUGCGGCUGGUAGGGUAGGGUCCAUUUUAUUCACUGUUGUUCAUGUAAUUCUCAGACCAAAGUUUUCACCUUUUGCCCAUACUUUUAAAGUUAAUUACUCUUAGAAAAAGACUUCGGGUUAAUUUGAAAAUCUUUUUACUUCUCAAACCAAAAGGAUAUGCACCUUUGGAUUUUGGUCCCGGAAGCUCCAACACGGAAUGAUCCGAAAAUAAUUUUAAUACUUUCUAUAUAAGUCUUAGACAAAAUAUUAUUAUCUCAAAAUUCCGUGCCAAGCAACAGACAGAGAGAUAUUGGACCAAAAUUGUCAAAUGUUUCUGAAGUUGCACUGAUUUUGUGCAUAAAUUUAUAUGGCGUAUGCGAUUAAGAGAGAGUUUUGAGAGAUAAAAAUGUUGAUCCAAUUUACUCUUACUCUUGAGAAUCGAACUACCCACAUUUUCAUACAAAGAAAACGUUUUACAUAGAGCGAUAAAGAUCUCGUUUUAGAAACUGUAAUCUUUAGAUUUUAAAGAAAAAUUUUGACUUUCCAAAUUCUAAGAGACGAAGAUGCUGUUGCCAAAAAUAUUUUGGUUCAAAAUCUUUUCUUUUAAUGUAAGCGAAUAAAGCAAGAUUUUUGGAUUUUCUUUAAAACAAUUUUCGAAAAUAAAAAGAUAUAAAAAAUAUUUUGUUACCAAAAAUAAUUAAGAUAAAAUUUUUUUCUUUUAGGAAAAUAAACCAAAAAGAUCAGGAUUUGAUUUUUAUUAUUUAAGGUAAUUUUUCAAAAAUUAUUUUUGAAAGAGAGAAGAAAUAUUUGUGUGCUUAUAAAAGAAUAUUCUCUCUAUCCUACAAAUUAUCCUAAGAUUACUAACUACCAAAAAAUUCUUCAAUAAUCUUCAUGGUCUUCAAAAUCUUGGAUGUGUAGGGACUUGCCUUCUUUAGCAAUUUCUAUAUAUAUAAAAAAAUUCAGCAUAAAUUAAUAUUAGCACAUACAAGAAAAUAUUAAAUUUAUUUGUCUUGCAUAAUCAUCAUAAUCUCAAGAUAAAAUUGAUCCUUGAGCCAAAAUUCAAAUAUAUAUUUUAAUAAUUAUUCACUAGGAUAUUCUUAUUAUACUAAUUAAAGAGUUUCUAUUUGUAUUGAAAUUAGGAAUUUUAAUUUAUAAUAAUAGUGAUAUAUAUAAAAGUAGAAAUAUGAAAGAGAAAUGUUGGGAUAACCAAGUUACUCUUAUUAAAUUUAGAGAUCACAAAAUAUUUUAAAGAUUUUAAUUUUAUUAUUUGAAAAAUUAAAGAAUAAAUGUAAAAAAAUAAAAAAUUUGGUGAAAAUAAUUAAAGAAUGUAUAGUUACCUAUAUAAGAAAUAAACCCUAGAGGAAAAAAUAAGAGAAAAAUUAAAAACCCUCAUUGCUACUUCUAGAAUGAUUCUAUUUCUUUGACUAAUAUACAUAGUUAGUUUAAUGAACUUAGACUAAUUUUUUAAAACUCUUUUGAGCCUAAAGAAAAAAAAUUUCUUCUAAUGUAAAAAUAUAUUAUAUUUUUAGGCGACAACGAGGAUUAUGUGAAAUGCAUGUAAACAUAUUAUUUUUAUUAAAUAUUGUCAAUGAAUUCCUUUCUCUCUUUUUCUUGACUAUUAUAUAUAUAUAUAUAUUGAUUUACUACAAUUUGUUAAUAGAGUUAAAUUAAUAAAAACUCUUUGCUUUAUCAUAUUCCUUUGUUUUUAGAGAUAUUAAUUAAUUAUUUUACUCUUAAUCUCUUAACUAAAUUUUUAUGUUUUUUUAAAAGAAAUUAAUUUUUAUCUAUUAAUUUUGACUUAGAAAUUCAUUAUAUAAUUAAACUUUGUAUUCUAAUGUAUUAUUUUAUAUGUUUUAAAAUACUAAAUGUAACGAUUAAGUACAACAAGUAUAAAUAAUAUGCAACACACAUUAAAAAAUACUAGUAAAUAUAAAUAUAUAAGUUUGUCAUUAUUUGUUUUCUAUUAAAAUAUCAUCCAAAUAAAUUAAAUGGUGAAUAAUAUUCAAGAUAAAAAUUGGUUUUCUAACUUCAAAUUUCAAAUUUCUUAUUUUAUCUAUAUUUAUUAAUCUUAGGACCAUAUUUACAUAUCACAAAUAUAAAUGGUAAAAUCAUAAAUUUAUAAUAAUGACAUUUUUCUAAACAAAUAAAAAUAAUUCUAUUUUCUUUAAUCUUUUUUGUUUUGCUUGCAAUCCAAAUAUACAGUAAAAAAUAAAUAAGGAAGAUAAACGAUAGAGUAUUCCACUGUUAUUUUAUCAUGGAGAAGUUGGACAUAUUAAUUUUAUUAGAACAAUAUUUAUAUUACAUAUGCAUACAUGGUAAAAUUGUAACUUUGCAAUAAUAUCAUUUUCUUUCCUCCAUGAUUUGAGUCUUUCCAACAAAUGAAAAUAAUCCUUCCUUCUAUUUUUCUUCCAUUCAACUUGGAAGCAAUGUUCAGUUUGUCCAAAAAUUAUCUUUUUAUACAAUUUAUCCUUAAACUUGUAGUAGAAGAAAAAAAUGCCCUUUUUUCUAAAAAAAAUUGCAAUAUUUUAUGUUUGGUUUAAAAGUAAUUAAACAAAAUAUUUGAUUUAAAAAUUAUAGAAUUAGAAAAAUAUUUGAUUAGGUUAAAAAAAUGCUUAUUAUUUUUAAUUAGAUUUGAUUUUCAUCAAAUAUUUUAUUUUUUGGGUAAAAAAUUGAGAUUUUGUUCUUUUAGUGGAAAUUUCAGGGUAAAUUAUAUAGAAAGUUACUUCAACUGAAUAGUUUUAAAUAUAUAUAUUUUUAAUAAUUGCACGAGGUAUCUGGCCUAUGUUCCUUUUAAUGAUCUACAAACCUAAUUAAUUCUCGCUCACUUCGGAAGUAAAGGGGUUGAUCCGGGAGAAUUUACAUUGUAGAGGAUCGAACUCAUUACUUAAGCCAUGGUAAUCAACCCCGAAAACACUCUUUGCCGCUGAGCUACCCCAUUCGGGUUAAGUUGUUAUAAAUAAUUAGAUACAGAAUAAUUAGCAGUUGUACAUCAAAGCGCUAAAAACAAACAUUUCUUCAAUAAAAGCAACUAAUCUAGCCAUACAGUGAGCUAAAACAAACAUUUAUUAGCGUUCCUAGGAACACAUAUAACUGAAAGAGAAAAACUGAAUUGAAAUAAUCGCAUACUCUUAAUUUUGUUCCCUUGUUCUCUUUAAUUCUUCAUGGACCAUAAUACCUCGACUCUUGAACUAAAGCAUUGAAAUCAGAGUAAGAAGAUCCACCAUCUUCAACAGCUUGUCUCGCCAUCUCUCCAAGCUUCCUUGCUCUGCUUCUCAUUUCCUCUGCUUCUUCACCUUCCAUAACUCUUCUAAUUGCCUUCUCUAUAGCUUCACUUUUAACAUAAUCCCCAUGCAACCAAUCCCAUUCCUUGGCACCAACACCAAUCCCAAUUUUCAGAACCUCAGUCACUAAUUUCUCAUUAUAGAAUUGCUCAGCUCCCACAGGCCAUGUUACCAUUGGCUUCCCUGCACUCACACCCUCAAGAGUUGAAUUCCAUCCACAGUGAGUCACAAAUCCUCCUACUGCAUCAUGUUCAAGAAUCAACACUUGUGGUGCCCACCCUCUUAUGAUAAGUCCUUUCCCUUCCAUUUUCUUCUCAAAACCUUCAGGCAACCAUUCUUCUUCAUGUCCUUCACUAUUUUUGUUUCUCCGAACUACCCAAAUGAACUUCUGUCCAGCAGUUUCCAGAGCUAUUGCAAUUUCUUUGAGUUGAGAGUCGGUGAAAUUAGUUAUACUUCCAAAACGUAUGUAAAUAACAGAAUUCGGUUUCUUGGAAUUUAGCCAUUUCAAACACUCCUGUUCAUCAAUUGAAGCUUCUUUUCCUCUUUGUGCUUUAUCUUCCAUUCCUCUAUUGCAUAUCGAGACUGGGCCUAUAUGCCAUGCCUUUCUGCCCAAAACAUUCCUGUAGUGAUCAGCAUAAGCUUGCUCGAGCUCGUAGAAACUGUUUACAACUACUCCAAAGCUCUUCAACUCUGACUCAUUAGAUUCUUUAACAAUCUUAGUAAAAUCAUUUUGAACUUCUUCUCUAAAAAUAAUGGGGAAUUGUUUUCUUGUUAUCUUUAUUUCUCCUGGAAGAUCUGGAAUGACAAAGGACGCCGAAUCUGUCGAAACUUUCUUGUGUGGCUGAUAGAGCCUAAUAGAUUCCCCGGCGCAUAAAGAAAAGAAACUAGUUCCCUGAAACACUAAUCUCGGAAUUCCAAAUUUUGCAGCAGCAUCAGUAGCCCAAGGAAAGAACAUAUCAGCAACAAGACAAUUAGGAUUGCAUUCUUGAAGGAGCUUUUCGAGAGGUUCUUGAAGCUUACCUAUGGCUAAACAAAAUUUAUUCAUCAUUUCCGUACCAUUCUCAACCAAUGAAAGCACAAAAUCUAUGUUCUCACAUCCUUCUGGUAAUCCAACUUCCACUGAAGGGAAUUUGAGGAUUUGAAUAUUGAUGACAAAACCCAAAUCUUUUGUUCGUUGGAUUGUUUUGGAGAUGAGAGGUUCAUUUGAAGGUGUAGUGAUUAUUGUUGUUUUGUGGCCUCGAAAAGCAAAUAGCUUUGCCAUAUCUACUGUUGGUAUCGUGUGGCCAUGAGCCAUGAAGGGGAAGAAAAAAAUGUGUAGUUGAUUCUGAUCCAUGCUACCCAUAUGGAUAUUCUAAUAAGAGCACGAGAUUUGAAUCUUUUACAGGAAAAAUAGAAUGAUGAAAGUUGAAGAACUGCUUUAUUUUUCAAUGCUUAUAAGAAAAUAUGUUGUAGGGAAAAUACUUGGAUUCAAUCUUCUUGAGUUUGAUAGUUUAAUUCACCGGAUGAGGAGAAGUUUGUAAUGGAUUAUAUUUCAACGAUGAAGACUCUUCCCAGGAAACUACCUUUUUCUUUCCGAUCCAUAAUAAUUUUGUUCAGAUCUCGGUAGGCACUUGAAGGAAAAGUAUUAUCAACUGAGAUUUUUUUCAUCCAUAAAGAUAAAAUGUUCGGACAUUUUACUGAAGAAAUUUAAAUCUUAUUCAGAUCAACCUAUUGAUAAAACUAUAUCUUAUAUAAAGAGUGUGACUUUAGGUAAAAUUGGAGUUAUUCCACUUAAAACAUUAAAGAUUCUAGAUCUGAGCCAAAAAAUAAUAUCUUUGCAAAAACAGAGAAAAGCUUUUUAUAUCAACUCUCUUUAAAGCACCUAGUUUAUAGAAUGUUUGGUGCACUAGAUCGCUCUUUAUUUAACUAUCUUUGAUGCUUAAUUUUGAAUUUAUUCUUUUUUUUUUAAAUGAAUUCCUUCCUCAUUGUUCUAAAUUUAACCCAUUAUAUCUAUGUGAGAUUCAAACAAUUAAUACGGUAAUGGAUAGUUUAAUUUAAUUUUUUUUCUUUAAAUUUUUUUUUUUUGGCUCAUUGACAUUUCUUUUUAAAUUUUUCCCCUUUUUUCAGUCAUUAUGUGUUAGCUAAAUGAAAAAUAUGUUACCUUCGUUUUUGCAAUUAAUGAUGUUGAAGGUAACAACGAGGACCACAAAAUAUUCAUGUGAAAAGCAAGAUAACAUAUUGAAUGAAAGCAAAAUUGAAUUAUGUGUUAGCUAAAUUUAACCCAUUGAUUAGGUUCGAUUCAAAUCAAAAUUCUCUAGUGCAAAUCAAUAAAUUUUCAAUUAGAAAAAAAAAAAAGAAUUAUAUGUACAAUAAAAUCGAACUAUAACAAUUGAUCCAAUUUUUUGAUCUUGAUUUAUUUUUGAAUUAAGUUAAUUUAGUUUUUAGAAUUUUUUAAAAACUGAAUUAAAAUGAAAAUUCGAUUUUUUUUCCUAUUACAAUAGAAAUAAAUCGAAUUCAUCAAUGAUUUAAUCAAUUUUACUGAUUAUUGUCGACCAUCAAAAUGUGCCUCACUGCCCAGUGCGGAGCACAAUCCAUCAAACGCUCACUUUUUUAGAUAGGGGUGAAAGUGAAAGGGGUGCACUUAUUUCGAAUUGGAAGAGAGGAAAUUAUAACUUGGGUACUGUAUAUGUUAGAUUUUAAUUAAAAAAUAUCAGUUAGACUUUCUUCUUCUUGUUUCAAUGGCUUUUCUGGUUGUUGUUUCAACAGUACGCAUGAACUUUUCGUUCUUCUUUUUCUCUCUGUAUUUGAUUUUGUUUUCUGAUAUUCACUUUAACUCGAUAUGGAUUAAAUCGGUGAAAACUCUUAUCAAGAAGAUUCGAACGGAUAACUUCUCACACUUCAUAUUAAUUAGAAAACAAAUUAGACUUGGCUUAACCAACUCAAACUUGGAGUUAAGAUUAAAUAAACAAUAAUAGAGUUCAAUCCAAAUUUAUGUACAAUAUUCUUAAAAAUUAGCUUUUUAUAUAAUUUUUCAACCGCAUUACAUGAAUAAACAUGCUGAUUUUUUUUUAAAAAAUCAAAUAAUAAUUUCUUUAUUUUUAAUUGAUGAAAAUUAUUUAAAAAGUUUAAAAAUUAGUAAAGAAAAAGAAUUAUUUAAAAGGACAAAAUAAUAUAAAACAAAAUUGAAUUAUACCAUCUCUUUGAUUUAAAAAUAGAAUAAAGGUGAAUUUCACUCUUGAAUUCAUUGAGUGGGAUCAAAGAAGUCAGAUUUAACCUUUUAGACUAAUUUAACCCCCUGAAUUUAUUCAAAGUGAUUAAAAAGAUCACAAUUUAAUAUAAUAUUAGAAUCCUUGUAUACACAUAUAUUAGAACUAUAAUUGGAAUAUUGCUAUAUAAUUUAUUAAAAUAAUUAAGUAAAUGUGAAAUAGAGGAAAAUGAUACGUAACGUAUACCUUGAUUGAUGAUUUUAAUUUAAUGUAUUAAUUUGAACAUUUUAAAUUUACCUUUAUUACUGGAUUAUUACAUAUGAAAUCUAUGGAUUUUUCAUGUUGAAUAGAUUAAAGUUAUACUACAUAUUUUAUAAAUUUAUUGUAUCAAAAGAUAUGGUGCUUUUAUAAAUUUUAAAUUUCUAUCUAGAAGUGUUGGAAAAGUUUGAUCUGGUUUUUUUUUGUAAAAUUGAAUCCAAAAAUUUGUGAAUAUCAAAAUAAAAUCAUGAGUUUAAUUGGCCUAAAAGAUCAAACUUAACAUUUUUAAUCAUGUUAAAUAAGUUCACGGGGUAAAUUAGUCUAAGAAGUCAAAUUUGAUAUUUUUGAUCCGCUAUACAAAUUUGUGGCCAAAUUAACCUUUAUUCUGUUUAAAAAUAAUUAAAUAAAAUAUUUAAUUUAAAAAUUCUAGAAUUAAAAAAUAUUAGAUUAUAUUAAAUAUUCGACGUAUUUUUUGUUUAGCUAUUUUCAAUUAUAUUUAAUUUAAACCAAAUAUUCAUUAUUUUUUUCCCAAAAAUUCAGUCUGUAAUUCCUUUGGUGUACACUGGAACGUCCAUUGUAUGAAAAAUUGAUUGUGAGUCAGAUUACGUACCACUUCCAAAUUUAUGACAACUUGGGCCUUCUUCCAAAUUUUUUAUAUUAUUAAACUACCCCUCACUUUGUAAUUUAUCAUUCAAGAAGCAAUUGACUUUCUAUUAAUAAAUUUUAUUUACAAUUUCCUCCCUCUCAUUGUUUCCUCCCAACCAAACAACUGAGUGAAAAAUAUAUAAACACCCACACCCAACUUACACCUCUUUUGACCCCCUAUUAUUUCCAAUUUCCAAACAAGUUGGAAAUAACUAUUUUAUGAAAUAAGAACUUCAAAAGACUAGUUCAAACCUCCACUCAUUUAAAACCGAUUCCCAAACCACUUUUUAUUAAAUCGAAAUCAUUCGUUCAAUGGACCCGCCAUUCCUAAUCACACACAGACAUGUCAAUUGCAAAGAGACAACUCUGUUUUAUAGUCAACAGAAGACCACUAAUUCCAAAAUUGAUUUGGACUUCGACCCCUUUUGCUUUGCCUAUAUGGAAUUGGAGACUCCAUUUGCACAAUUUAUACUUUUGAUUGCUAGUUUCUGUCAUUUGAUAGAUGACCAAUUGUUUUAAAUAAAUUGAUGUAGAAUACAUUAUAUUUAUAAAUAAAUUUUAUUGAAAAAUUAUUUGCCAAUAAAUUUUUAUAUUUGGAUCCACUGUAUAAUUUAUUUCUAAUUAUUUUGUUUUGUUAGUCUAGUUUGAAUUCAUUAAUUUUAGUAGUUUUUACACUCUUUUUAUAUUUAUAAUUUAUUUAAAAAUUCUAUUAGUUUUAAUAGAAUUUUAUUUAAGUAUAACUAAUUACAUAUAGAGGUUCAUUUUGGUGCUUUUUCUUUUUUAUUUUUUUAGACGAAAUUAGAAUUGAUAAUUUCAUUAAAAGGAAACGGUGUAUAAAAAUAGAAUACAGAUCAACAUGUUUGCAUAUUUUUAUAUAAAAAAUCUAAUAAUAAAUCACUUAUAAAAAGUAUAAAAAGCACAAUAUUAAUUUCAAGUAUCUUAUUGAGUUGACAAGGAUAAUACAUAUGUUAUAUGCGAUUGCUUGCUUUAGUUGGUGGUAAUUUAUGCUUAUUGUUCGACUCCAUAAUCUUUCUAUAAGUCCAAUUUGAUCACUUUCAAAUUUUCUCCUUUUUAAUUUUGAUAGUUAGAAAAAUAAUAAGGAAAAAAACUAAACAAGUAAUUAUAAAUCAUGCAAGAAAAAUGUUGCAAAAAUUUAAUUGAUACUCCAACAUUCCUAUUCUUUAUAAAGAAAUAAAAAUGUAGCGAAUAAUUGAAUAGGAUAAUAAUACAAAGUAGUGCUAAAUGGCUCAAGUUGAGCCUGAUUCAAUUAGAAUCUCUAUAGAUAGAAUAUCCACAAUGCCCUUAACAAUGUUUAAAGAUCUUUCGAGAACUUCUCUGUGGGUGGAGAAUUAAAUUGGUGAAAUAGGCAGCCAGGAAGAGGAGAAAAAGAUAGUGACUAAUAGACCGCCAUUAAUGGCGGCGCCGUUACUUCAGGGACUUGGAAACGAUGAUCUUGUUGUCAUUGUUAUUGUCGGAACAGUAACAAUACUUCUUCUUCUCUCUUUCCCAUUUCACACUACUUCUUCUCUUCCUCCUCUUUUCUUCUUUGUUUCGCUACCAUGGGUUCCCUAUCCAUCAGCACAACCCAGUUCACUACCGCCACCACCCUCGUUUUGCCAGUCACCAUUAUAAAGAUACUCUCACCAAAUCAAUCCUCUUUUUUGAGGGUUAGAGGUCAGGCAAGCUUCCUUCAAACCAGAGGAUGACUUGGAGUUGAAACUCUAGUCUUUCAAAUGGCUCAGCCAUGCAUGUAUAUACAUUAACUUGAAAUCUCUCUUUUUUAUGUUUCUUUUCCUUUUUCUUUUUGGGUAUAGUUGAUUUGGGUUUGGAAAUGAAAAUGCAAGUGGAUUUGGUAGGAAGGUACUAUAAUGUAGGGACAAUGUGAAGUUUGGUUUCCCAAUGACUUUCACUACUAUAAUGUUUUCAUGUAGUGUGAUUGAAUUUGGUGGGCUUAUGAAAGGAGGGUUGCAGAACGCUAAAGAAGUCAUUCAUUGGGUUACUGAUUACCUUCUCAAAGCUACUGCACAUCCAUACACUAUUUACACUCAGGUUUGCAUUCUUAAAUUUUGGAUUUUUAGAGAAUGGAGUUUUAUGCUCUGUUUUUGUUUCGUGAAUAGGCUAAAGAAGUAUCUUUCUUUUAUCUUUUUAAUGUUAUGGAUUUUUGUUGCAGGUUGGUCUGGAAAACUUAGAGAGACAUUGUAGAGGAAAAUAUUCUCAUCUCAUCAUUUCAUACGUACAGGUACAUAGGUACUUAUUAACUCCCUAACUACUUUGACUUUAUCUCUAACUCUAACAAAGUGAUAAAGAUAAAUAUGUUACAAUGAUAAUUAUCAUCUAAAACAAACUAAUUCUAAUAUCAUCACAUGGUAAAAUCGUUCUGGCUAACACUUCCCCUCAAUUUUAGUAUGGAUAUCGAACAUGCACAAUUUUCUACAUGCAGAAUGAUGACUUCUUCCAUUAAUUGCUUUGGUUAACACGUCUUCAAGUUGGUCUUCUGACUUAAUGAAUACAAAUUGGACCAAUCUUUGAUCAAUCUUCUCUCUAAUAAAGUAUCUAUCAAUUUCUAUGUGCUUGUUCUAUCAUGCUAAACUGGAUUUUUUGCAAUUUAGAUUGUAGCUCGAUUAUCACACAUUAAGUCCAUCGGUUUAGUUGAAUCGAACCCCAAAUCUUUCAUGAUUUCUUUUGUCCAAAUCAGUUCACACAGUCCUUGGCAUACUGACUUGAAUUCUGCUUCUGCACUUGAUCUUGCAAUAACUUUUUGUUUCUUACUUUUUUCAAGAUACUAAGUUUCUACCAAUCAUAGUAAGAUGCCUUGAGGUAGAACGCCUAGUAUCUCUAUCUCCUACCCAAUCUGCAUCAGUAAAACAUGAAAUAUCCAAGUUUCCAUUAUCUUUAAAUAAAAUCCCCUUUGUUGGAGAUCCUUUCAAAUACCUCAAAAUUUGAAACACAGCCUCCAUAUACUUUUCAAGUGGUUCAUGCAUAUAUUGGCUGACCUUACUAACUGCAAAAGUAAUAUCAAGCCUAGUGUGUGUUAAGUAAAUCAAUCUCCCUACUAGCCUUUGAUCUCGCCCCACAUCAUCAUAUCUCUCAUUUGAUCCACCUUCAAAAUGGCUAUUUACUUCCACUGGUGUUUCGGCUGGCUUACAGUCUAGCAUACCUAUUUCAAUUAAUAUAUCUAACACAUGUUUCCGUUGACAUAGAAAAUUCCCUUUUUCGAUCUAGCCACUUUAAUUCCUAGAAAAUAUUUCAAAUUUCCUAAGUCUUUCAUAUCAAAAGUUUUCCCUAGGAAUUGUUGUAGCUUUCUAAUUUCUUCAACAUCACCUCCUGUUACUAUCAUGUCAUCAACAUAAAUAAGUAAUACAAUAAUCUUUCCAUCUCUCCAUUUUAAAAACAUAGUAUGAUCAUGAUUACUUUGUUUAUAACCAACAGACUUCAUUUCACCGCUAAAUUUUUCAAACCAUGCCCUAGGAGAUUGUUUCAUGCCAUAAAGAGAUUUCUUAAGCCUAAAAACUUUGCCUUCUUGGUUAAGUUUUUCAUUUACACCAAGUCGAUAAGCCAUAUAAACUUCCUCCUCUAAUUCUCCAUUCUCCAUUCAGGAAAGCAUUCUUAACAUCAAACUGUUUCAAAAUCCAAUCCUUAUGAACAGCAACAGAGAUUAGAAUUCUUACAGUGUUGAGUUUUGCUACAAACUCUUAGUAGCAAAACUUUAUGAGUGAAACCUUUAGUAACUAGCCUUACCUUAAAGUGAUCAAUACUUCCAUUAGGCUUUAACUUCAUUGUAUAUACCCAUUUGAUCAUGUGAUGUCGUUUUGUGGUCAGAAAAAUUGUGACCGACUUGCGACCAAUACAAUUGGUCGCAAGAGUGUUGGUCACAAAUCAGUCGCAAAUCGAUCACAAAUCGAUCGUAGAACGAAAACUAAAUUUGGCGCUGAACUGCAACGCGCAAUUUUGCGACAGGCUUUUAAACGGUCGCAAAUCCGUCGCAGAAUCUGUCGCAAUGGGGUCGUAAAAUGAAAACCAAACUAGUGGAAAUUACUAGCUCUAGAAUUAGCGACGGAUAUUAUAUCGGUCGCAAAUCCGUUGCAAAAUGUGUCGUCGUUUGGUUGCAAAUCCGUCGGUGGAUAUUCAACCUCCCAAUCAUCGCAAUUGGUCGCAAUAUCAUCGCAAUAUUGCAACUGAUAUGCGUCGAACGCAAAAAUCGAUCGCAAAAGCACGUUUUUUUUUUUUGUAGUGAUUCAUAUUGACAACCUAUAAAACUAUAUAUAUAUAUAUAUAAUUUUAAUUGCUUUUCACUAUAAAAAAUUUAUUGUCUUUGUUUGUUGCUUUUGACUAUAAAAAAUUAUUAUAUCAAGUUUUUGCUAAUUUGAAAUUAUUGAGUUUGUAACUAUGUCUUCUUCUUGCGCUAAAUAUACUAUUAACUUCUUCAUUUACAAUUAAUAGAAUAAAUUUUAUUAUUUAUAUAUAUAUAUAUAUAUAAGCAUGUGAAUAUGAAUAUAUGUAGGAAAAUUUUUUCAAUCACGUAUCAUUGUUAUUAUAUCCUUAGGUUUUCAUUAAUAUAUAAAAAAUUAAUAUAAAAUAAUAUUACAUAAAAAAAAUAGGAAUAUAUAUAUAUUACAUAUUAUAUAUUAUUAUUAAAUAUUAUAAAGUAUAUAUUGGAUCAUCAUAUUAUCCUAUUUAGAAAUAUUCAAUUUGAAUUUUUAAUUUUAAUAUAUAUUUAUUUUUUUUAUAUUGAAUUCAUAAUAUAAUUUUUAUUUAGUAAUUUCAUUGUAUUAGAAAUUCAUAAUAUUAGUGAAUAAAAAUUGCAUUCGAAAUUCAAAUAUAUAUUUUAAUAAUUAUUCACUUGGAUAUUCUUAUUAUAUUAAUUAAAGAGUUUCUAUUUGUAUUUAAAAUAGGAAUUUUAAUGUAUAAUAAUAGUGAUAUAUAUAAAAGUAGGAAUAUGAAAGGGAAACACUGGGAUAACCAAGUAACUCUUAUUAAAUUUAGAGAUGACAAAAUAGUUUUAAAGAUUUUAAUGUAAUUAUUUGAAAAAAAUUAAAAAAUAAAUGAUAAAAAAUAAAAAUUUGGUGAAAAUAAUUAAAGAAUGUAUUGUUACCUAUAUAAGAAAUAAACCCUAGAGAAAAAAUAAGAGAAAAAUUAAAAACUCUCGUUGCUACCUCUACAAUGAGUUUAUUUAUUUAGAUUAAUAUAAAUAGUUAGUUUAAUAAACUCAAACUAAUUUUUUUAGACUUUUUUGAGCCUAAGAAAAUAAUAUUUCUUUUAAUAUAAACAUAUAUUAUAUUUUUUGGCGACAAUGAGGAUUAUGUGAAAUGUAUGUAAACAUAUAAUUUUUAUUAAUUACUGUAAAUGAAUUCCUUUUUCUCUUUUUGUUGACUAUUAUAUAUAUUGAUUUAUUACAAUUUAUUAAUAGAGAUAAAAACUUUUCGCUUUAUCAUACUCGUUUGUUUUUAGAGAUAUUAAGCAAUUAUUUUACUUUUAAUCUCUUAACCAAUUUUUAUGUUUUUUUAGAAGAAAUUAAUUUUUAUCUAUUAAUUUUGACUUAGAAAUGCAUUAUAUAAUUAAACAUUGUGUUCUAAUGCAUUUAUUUUAUAUGUUCUAAAAUAUUAAAUGUAAUGAGUAAGUACACCAACUAUGAUAAAUACUAAAUGGAGAAGUUGGAAUUAUUAAUUUUAUUAGAAUAAUAUUUAUAUUACAUAUGCAUAAAUGGUAAAAUUGUAACUUUGCAAUAAUAUCAUUUUCUUUCCUCCAUGAUUUCAGUCUUUCCAACAAAUAAAAAUAAUCCUUCCUUUAUUUUCCUUCCAUUCCAAACACAAGGUGGAAAAUAAGGAGGGAAAAUGAAUAGUACAAUCCUCCAUUGUUUUCCUUCCUUUCCUUCCCAAAUAUAACAUAAGUGAAAAAUUUUAGAGUUUUGAACUUAUUAAAAAUACAACGCUGGAUUUAUGCAUUCUUUUAUACUAGUAUUUAUGAACGUGCAUUACACGUAUUAUAUAAUUUGAUUUAUAAUAUUUUAUUAUUUUAUCAAGAAUGGUGUUCAUUAUUAUUCUAAUUCCUAGUAAAAAAUCAAUUGAACGCAAUAAUUAACAAAAUAUAAAUAAAAUUGCAAAAAGUUAAUAGUUAAAUGAAAUAUUUACUAAAGUUUGAUGAUAUACAAUAUAUAUAUAAUUUCUAAUUAAGAUAUGAUAAAAAUAUCUACAAUAAAAUUGUAAUUCCUAGUAUGACAACUUGUAUAAUAGGAUUAUAAUUCCUAACAUGACAAAACUUUACGAAUAAGACAUUAAUUUAAAAUUUUAAUUUCUAUAAUAGAAUUAUAAUUCUAACAUAUGAUAAGACUUCCAUUAUCGGAUAUUAAUUUAAAAAUUUAAUUUCUACAACAGAAUUAUAAUUUUUAAUUAAAAUAUAACGAAACUUCCAUAAUAGGGCAUUAGUUUAAAACUGAAGGAAUAAAAUUCAUUUUAUUCAUUGAACUUGGAAGUAAUGUACAAUUUGUCCAAAAUUAUCUUUUUGUACAAUUUACCCUUAAACUUGCUGUAGAAGAAAAAAAUUGCCUUUUUUAUAAAAAUUAUUUAAAAAGUUCAAAAUUAGGAAAACAAAUUAUUUAAAAAAUAUAUACAAUUGCUAUCAAAAAGUACAGUAUUUAAUUUUUUCGAGUAAUAAAAUAUUAUAUGUUUGGUUUAAAAGUAAUUAAACAAAAUAUUUGAUUUAAAAAAUUAUAGAAUUAGAAAAAUAUUUAUUAGGUUGAAAAAUGCUUAUUAUUUUUAAUUAUAUUUGAUUUUCAUCAAAUAUUUUAUUUUUUAGGUAAAAAAUUGGGAUUUUGUGGAAGUUCCAGUUCCAGGAUAAAUUAUACAGAAAGUUACUUCAACUAAAUAGUUUUAAAUAAAUUUUUUUUAAUACUCGCAGGGUGUAUUCAGGCCCGUAUUCGUUUUAACGAUCCACAAAUCCGACUAAUCUUCACUCAAUUCGGAGGCAAAAGAGUUGGCUCAGGGGAGUUUACAUUGCGGAGGAUAGAACCCAUUACUUAAGCAAUGACAAUCAACCUCGCAAAUGCUCUUUGAAACUGAGCUACCCUAUUCGGGUUAAAUACUUUUAAAUAAUUAAAUACAGAAUAAUUAACAGUUGUAAAUCAAAGCGCUAAAACAAACAUUUCUUCAAUAAAAGCAACUAAUCUAGCCAUACAGUGAGCUAAAACAAACAUUUAUUGGCGUUCCUACGCACAUAUGUAACUGAAAGAGAAGAACUGAAUUGAAAUAGUCGCAUAAUCUUAAUUUUGUUCCCUUGUUCUCUUUAAUUCUUCAUGGACCAUCAUACCUCAACUCUUGAACUAAAGCAUUGAAAUCAGAGUAAGAAGAUCCACCUUCUUCAACAACUUGUCUCGCCAUCUCUCCAAGCCUCCUUGCUCUGCUUCUCAUUUCCUCUGCUUCUUCACCUUCCAUAACUCUACUAAUUGCCGUCUCUAUAGCUUCACUUUUAACAUAAUCCCCAUGGAACCCAACCCAUUCCUUAGCGCCAACACCAAUCCCAAUUCUCAGAACCUCAGUCAUUAAUUUCUCAUUAUAGAAUUGCUCAGCUCCCACAGGCCAUGUUACCAUUGCCUUCCCUGCACUCACACCCUCAAGUGUUGAAUUCCAUCCACAAUGAGUCACAAAUCCUCCAACUGCUUCAUGUUCAAGAAUCAACACUUGUGGUGCCCACCCUCUUAUGAUAAGUCCUUUCCCUUCCAUUUUCUUCUCAAAACCUUCAGGCAACCAUUCUUCUUCAUUUUCUUCACUAUUCUUGUUUCUCCGAACUACCCAAAUGAACUUUUGUCCAGCAGCUUCCAGAGCUAUUGCAAUUUCCUUAAGUUGAGAGUCGGUGAAAUUAGUUACACUUCCAAAACAUAAGUAAAUAACAGAAUUCGGUUUCUUGGAAUUUAGCCAUUUCAAACACUCAUGUUCAUCAAUCGAAGCUUCUUUUCCUCUUUGUGUUUUAUCUUCCAUUCCUCUAUUGCAUAUCGAGACUGGGCCUAUAUGCCAUGCCUUUCUGCCCAAAACAUUCCUGUAGUGAUCAGCAUAAGCUUGCUCGAGCUCGUAGAAACUGUUUACAACUACUCCAAAGCUCUUCAACUCUGACUCUUUAGAUUCUUUAACAAUCUUAGUAAAAUCAUUUUGAACUUCUUCUCUAACGAAACUGGGGAGUUGUUUUCUUGUUAUCUUUAUUUCUCCUGGAAGACCUGGAAUGACAAAGGACUCCGAAUCUGUGGAAACUUUCUUGUGUGGCUGAUAUAGCCUAAUAGAUUCUCCGGCGCACAAAGAAAAGAAACUAGUGCCAUGAAACACUAAUCUCGGAAUUCCAAAUUUUGCAGCAGCAUCAGUAGUCCAAGGAAAGAACAUAUCAGCAACAAGACAAUUAGGAUUGCAUUCUUGAAGGAGCUUUUCAAGAGGUUCUUGAAGCUUACCUGUGGCUAACCAAAAUUUAAUUAUCAUUUCCAUACCAUUCUCAACCAAUGAAAGAACAAAAUCUAUGUUAUCACAUCCUUCUGGUAAUCCAACUUCCACUGAAGGAAAUUUGAGGAUUUGAAUAUUGAUAUCAAAACCCAUAUCUUUUGUUCGUUGGAUUGUUUUGGAGAUGAGAGGUUCAUUUGAAGGAGUAGUGAUUAUUGUUGCUUUAUGGCCUCGAAAAGCAAAUAGCUUUGCCAUAUCUACUGUUGGUAUCAUGUGGCCAUGAGCCAUGAAGGGGAAGAAAAAAAUGUGUAGUUGAUUCUGAUCCAUACUACCCAUAU